GACAGAGGGUGCAAACGUUGCUCGGAAUUACUGGGCGUAAAGCGCGUGUAGGCGGCUAUGUAAGUCGGGCGUGAAAUCCCACGGCUCAAUCGUGGAAGUGCACCCGAAACUGCGUAGCUAGAGUCCUGGAGAGGAAGGUGGAAUGCUUGGUGUAGAGGUGAAAUUCGUAGAUAUCAAGCGGAACACCGGUGGCGAAGGCGGCCUUCUGGACAGUGACUGACGCUGAGACGCGAAAGCGUGGGGAGCAAACAGG
rnacentral:rRNA from 1 species